AUCCAACUGACAAGUCCCAAAUAGGAAGAAACGCGCGUCUUGGAU
rnacentral:hammerhead_ribozyme from 1 species